rnacentral:rRNA from 1 species
UACGAAGGGGGCUAGCGUUGCUCGGAAUCACUGGGCGUAAAGCGCACGUAGGCGGAUCUUUAAGUCAGGGGUGAAAUCCCAAGGCUCAACCUUGGAACUGCCUUUGAUACUGGGGAUCUUGAGUUCGGGAGAGGUGAGUGGAACUGCGAGUGUAGAGGUGAAAUUCGUAGAUAUUCGCAAGAACACCAGUGGCGAAGGCGGCUCACUGGCCCGAUACUGACGCUGAGGCACGAAAGCGUGGGGAGCAAACAGG